rnacentral:rRNA from 1 species
GUGAGCCGUCCUCCUUAUGCUGAAAGGGGCAUGUCGCGUUGCGACACCGUCUGUGGUUACUGCUCCUGGCAAGGUCACCCAGAGUCUAACUGUCGCCAGAAGAAGCGAGAUCAGAGGCGCUCCUCCUCCAGCGGCACUCCCGUGUCUUCCUCGACUCUGUCACUCACUGACCAGGACAUUGUUCGCCUCAAGCGCCUUCUUGCUUCCUCAGGCUCCUCGUCGACUGCUGCUGCUGUGACUGCAUCCCCUUCCUCAUAG